GGGGAUUUAGCUCAAUGGUAGAGCACUUGCCUAGCAAGCGCAAGGCCCUGGGUUCGAUCCCCAGCUCUG
rnacentral:tRNA from 1 species